rnacentral:rRNA from 1 species
ACCUUACCAGGUCUUGACAUCUAGUGCCAUCCUAAGAGAUUAGGAGUUCCCUUCGGGGACGCUAAGACAGGUGGUGCAUGGCUGUCGUCAGCUCGUGUCGUGAGAUGUUGGGUUAAGUCCCGCAACGAGCGCAACCCUUGUUAUUAGUUGCCAGCAUUAAGUUGGGCACUCUAAUGAGACUGCCGGUGACAAACCGGAGGAAGGUGGGGAUGACGUCAAGUCAUCAUGCCCCUUAUGACCUGGGCUACACACGUGCUACAAUGGGCGGCACAACGAGCAGCGAGUCUGUGAAGACAAGCNAAUCUCUGAAAGCCGUUCUCAGUUCGGACUGUAGUCUGCAACCCGACUACACGAAGCUGGAAUCGCUAGUAAUCGCGGAUCAGCACGCCGCGGUGAAUACGUUCCCGGGCCUUGCACACACCGCCCGU